rnacentral:tRNA from 1 species
UAGGCAGAAGUCUGCUGGUUUGGGCACCUAGCUGUUAACUAGGAGAGUUGCGGGAUCGAGGCCCGCCUGUCUAG